rnacentral:rRNA from 1 species
UACGUAGGGUGCAAGCGUUGUCCGGAAUUAUUGGGCGUAAAGGAGCUCGUGAGGCGGCUUGUCGCGUCGGCUGUGAAAAACCUCGGGGGCUCAACCCCGGGCCUGCAGCCGAUACGGGCAAGCUAGAAUUCGGUAGGGGAGACGUGGAAUUCCUGGUGUAGCGGUGAAAUGACGCAGAUAUCAGGAGGAACACCGGUGGCGAAGGCGGGACUCUGGGCCGAUACUGACGCUGAGGAGCGAAAGCGUGGGGAGCAAACAGG